CUCCUGGAAACGGGUGGUAAUGCCGGAUGUGCCGGGCUCCUGCAUGGGGGUCCGGGAAAGCUCUGGCGGCGUGGGAUGGGGUCGCGUCCUAUCAGCUUGUUGGCGGGGUGAGGGCCCACCAAGGCUUCGACGGGUAGCCGGCCUGAGAGGGCGACCGGCCACAUUGGGACUGAGAUACGGCCCAGACUCCUACGGGAGGCAGCAGUGGGGAAUAUUGCACAAUGGGCGCAAGCCUGAUGCAGCGACGCCGCGUGCGGGAUGGAGGCCUUCGGGUUGUAAACCGCUUUUGUUUGGGAGCAAGCCCUUCGGGGUGAGUGUACCUUUCGAAUAAGCACCGGCUAACUACGUGCCAGCAGCCGCGGUAAUACGUAGGGUGCGAGCGUUAUCCGGAUUUAUUGGGCGUAAAGGGCUCGUAGGCGGUUCGUCGCGUCCGGUGUGAAAGUCCAUCGCCUAACGGUGGACCUGCGCCGGGUACGGGCGGGCUGGAGUGCGGUAGGGGAGACUGGAAUUCCCGGUGUAACGGUGGAAUGUGUAGAUAUCGGGAAGAACACC
rnacentral:rRNA from 1 species